rnacentral:rRNA from 1 species
GGAGUCUGGGCCGUAUCUCAGUCCCAAUGUGGCCGAUCAGCCUCUCAGCUCGGCUACCCAUCAUCGACACGGUGGGCCGUUACCCCGCCGUCUAUCUAAUGGGCCGCGACCCCAUCUCGCACCGUAAAGGCUUUCCCGGGCAGAGCAUGCGCUCAGCUCGGAGUAUCCGGUAUUAACUUAAGUUUCCCUAAGGUAUCCCGGAGUGCGAGGCAGGUUGGUCACGUGUUACUCACCCGUUCGCCACUUUAUGCACCCCGAAGGGCUUUAAUCGUUCGACUUGCAUGUGUUAAGCACGCCGCCAGCGUUCAUC